rnacentral:rRNA from 1 species
CCUACGGGAGGCAGCAGUAGGGAAUUUUCCACAAUGGGCGAAAGCCUGAUGGAGCAACGCCGCGUGGGUGAAGAAGGUCUUCGGAUCGUAAAACCCUGUUGUUAGAGAAGAAAGUGCGUGAGAGUAACUGUUCACGUUUCGACGGUAUCUAACCAGAAAGCCACGGCUAACUACGUGCCAGCAGCCGCGGUAAUACGUAGGUGGCAAGCGUUAUCCGGAUUUAUUGGGCGUAAAGGGAACGCAGGCGGUCUUUUAAGUCUGAUGUGAAAGCCUUCGGCUUAACCGGAGUAGUGCAUUGGAAACUGGGAGACUGGAGUGCAGAAGAGGAGAGUGGAACUCCAUGUGUAGCGGUGAAAUGCGUAGAUAUAUGGAAGAACACCAGUGGCGAAAGCGGCUCUCUGGUCUGUAACUGACGCUGAGGUUCGAAAGCGUGGGUAGCAAACAGGAUUAGAUACCCGAGUAGUC